AUGGAAAGGAACUGGAUCUUUAUCUUCCUGUUAUCAGUAAGUGGAGGUGUCCACUCCCAGGUCCAGCUGCAGCAGUCUGGGGCUGAACUGGCAAGACCUGGGGCCUCAGUGAAGAUUUCCUGCAAGGCUUCUGGCUAUACCUUUACCAGCUACUGGAUGCCCUGGAUAAAACAAAGGCCUGGACAGGGUCUGGAAUGGAUUGGAUACAUUAAUCCUAGCAAUGGUUAUACUGAGUAUAAUCAGAAGUUCAAAGGGAAGGCCACAUUCACUGCAGACAAAUCCUCCAGCACAGCCUACAUGCAGCUGAGCAGCCUGACAUCUGAGGACUCUGCGGCCUAUUACUGUGCAACACACAGUGGUGCAACCACAUCCUGA